GACGAACGCUGGCGGCGCGCCUAACACAUGCAAGUCGAACGAGCGAGAGAGAGCUUGCUUUCUCAAGCGAGUGGCGAACGGGUGAGUAACGCGUGAGGAACCUGCCUCAAAGAGGGGGACAACAGUUGGAAACGACUGCUAAUACCGCAUAAGCCCACAGGUCGGCAUCGACCAGAGGGAAAAGGAGCAAUCCGCUUUGAGAUGGCCUCGCGUCCGAUUAGCUAGUUGGUGAGGUAACGGCCCACCAAGGCAACGAGCGGUAGCCGGACUGAGAGGUUGAACGGCCACAUUGGGACUGAGACACGGCCCAGACUCCUACGGGAGGCAGCAGUGGGGAAUAUUGCACAAUGGGGGAAACCCUGAUGCAGCGACGCCGCGUGGAGGAAGAAGGUCUUCGGAUUGUAAACUCCUGUUGUUGAGGAAGAUAAUGACGGUACUCAACAAGGAAGUGACGGCUAACUACGUG
rnacentral:rRNA from 1 species